rnacentral:rRNA from 1 species
GAUGAACGCUAGCGGCGUGCCUAAUACAUGCAAGUCGAGCGAACAGACGAGGAGCUUGCUCCUCUGACGUUAGCGGCGGACGGGCGAGUAACACGUGGAUAACCUACCUAUAAGACUGGGAUAACUUCGGGAAACCGGAGCUAAUACCGGAUAAUAUAUUGAACCGCAUGGUUCAAUAGUGAAAGACGGUUUUGCUGUCACUUAUAGAUGGAUCCGCGCCGCAUUAGCUAGUUGGUAAGGUAACGGCUUACCAAGGCAACGAUGCGUAGCCGACCUGAGAGGGUGAUCGGCCACACUGGAACUGAGCCACGGUCCAGACUCCUACGGGAGGCAGCAGUAGGGAAUCUUCCGCAAUGGGCGAAAGCUUGACGGAGCAACGCCGCGUGAGUGAUGAAGGUCUUCGGAUCGUAAAACUCUGUUAUUAGGGAAGAACAAAUGUGUAAGUAACUAUGCACGUCUUGACGGUACCUAAUCAGAAAGCCACGGCUAACUACGUG